GUGUCAGCAGCCGCGGUAAUACGUAGGCAGCGAGCGUUGUUCGGAGUUACUGGGCGUAAAGAGUAUGUAGGCGGUUGCGUAAGUUUGGUGUGAAAUCUCCCGGCUUAACUGGGAGGGUGCGCCGAAAACUGCGUGGCUAGAGUGUGGGAGAGGAAAGCGGAAUUCCUGGUGUAGCGGUGAAAUGCGUAGAUAUCAGGAGGAACACCGGCGGUGUAGACGGCUUUCUGGACCAUUACUGACGCUGAGAUACGAAAGCGUGGGUAGCAAACAGGAUUAGAUACCCUGGUAGUCC
rnacentral:rRNA from 1 species